GGUGAUCGGCCACAUUGGAACUGAGACACGGUCCAAACUCCUACGGGAGGCAGCAGUGGGGAAUAUUGCACAAUGGGCGCAAGCCUGAUGCAGCAACGCCGCGUGAGUGAUGAAGGCCUUCGGGUCGGAAAACUCUGUCCUCAAGGAAGAUAAUGACGGUACUUGAGGAGGAAGCCCCGGCUAACUACGUGCCAGCAGCCGCGGUAA
rnacentral:rRNA from 1 species